CGUGUGCGCGAGUCAUUGGGUGUCAAAACCUAAAGGCGUAAUGAAAGUGAAGGAAACUUUGUUUUUGAGGGAGGAUGGGUUAGGUUCCUCUCAUCAGGGCCGGCCUCGCACUCCCGGGGCGUCUCUAUCUCAUUGCGAGAGGAGGCGCACCCAGAGCGUACACGCUGAUACCCGAAAGAUGGUGAACUAUGCCUGGCCAGGACGAAGCCAGGGGAAACCCUGGUGGAGGUCCGCAGCGAUUCUGACGUGCAAAUCGAUCGUCGGAGCUGGGUUUAGGGGCGAAAGACCAAUCGAACCAUCUAGUAGCUGGUUCCCUCUGAAGUUUCCCUCAGGAUAGCUUGCGCUCGGAAACAACGAGUCUCAUCCGGUAGAGCGAAUGAUUAGAGGCCUUGGGGUCGAAACGACCUCAACCUAUUCUCAAACUCCAAAUAGAUGAGAACCCCGGCUUUCUUGAACUCUGUUUAUGAAGCCGGGGGCUCGGAUCAGAGU
rnacentral:rRNA from 1 species